AGCAAAUAGAUACCCGGGUAGUCCACGCCCUAAACGAUGGCAACUGGGUGUUGGGGAAGCGAUUCCUUGGUACCGUAGCUAAACGCGUGAAAGUUGCCCGCCUGGGGAGUACGGCCGCAAGGUUAAAACUCAAGGGAAUUGACGGGGACCCGCACAAGCGGUGGAUGAUGUGGAUUAAUUCGAUGCAACGCGAACAACCUUACCUACCCUUGACAUGUUCUGAAGCCUGGUGAGAGCUGGGUGUGCCCGAAAGGGAACGGAAACACAGGUGCUGCAUGGCUGUCGUCAGCUCGUGUCGUGAGAUGUUGGGUUAAGUCCCGCAACGAGCGCAACCCUUGUCCCUAGUUGCUACGCAAGGGCACUCUAGGGAGACUGCCGGUGACAAACCGGAGGAAGGUGGGGAUGACGUCAAGUCCUCAUGGCCCUUAUGGGUAGGGCUUCACACGUCAUACAAUGGACGGUACAGAGGGUAGCCAACCCGCGAGGGGAGCCAAUCCCAGAAAGCCGUUCGUAGUCCGGAUUGCAGUCUGCAACUCGACUGCAUGAAGUC
rnacentral:rRNA from 1 species